UACAGAGGUCUCAAGCGUUGUUCGGAUUCAUUGGGCGUAAAGGGUGCGUAGGCGGCGCGGUAAGUCGGGUGUGAAAUUUCGGAGCUUAACUCCGAAACUGCAUUCGAUACUGCCGUGCUUGAGGACUGGAGAGGAGACUGGAAUUUACGGUGUAGCAGUGAAAUGCGUAGAUAUCGUAAGGAAGACCAGUGGCGAAGGCGGGUCUCUGGACAACUCCUGACACUGAGGCACGAAAGCUAGGGGAGCAAACAGG
rnacentral:rRNA from 1 species